rnacentral:lncRNA from 1 species
UAGUUUUACUUUAUUUUUGUGAUACUUGGUCACUUAAAAUUAAAUUAAAAUUAAUUCCCUUAACGAGGAGCUUAACCUGGAGUUAAGAAGUGGUCGACGAUUAAAUCAGGUACGUAAGUCAAACUUUACCUAUUUAAUUUUAGCACUUCAUGCAUGCUUCUUUUCUACUCCUAAAAAUUCUACAACUGCAUAAAUGCAUUCAUACCAUCAUAUAGGCAUGUAAAUUGCCUCAAUUAAAAUAUGAUUAAGCUAAAUGCCCGGUUAAUUAAUAAUCGUGGUAUCAAAGUUUAAAUCCGACAAUAUUGGCUUAAAAUAUCUAGUCAUUCAAUGGCUAUGGUAUGAUUGCCUUUAUUUCGAACAAUUUUCAGCUUAAGUCCAAUUAAUCAAUAAUUGUGGCUAAAAGCCUUAAUCAAUCAUGUUUUGGCAACAAAUUGCCUACAGUUAAAUCAAAGUUUUGGCAAAAUGCCUUAAAACUCAAUCAAUCUUUGGGUUUUAAAACCGAAAAAUCAAUCAUUUUGGCGACAAUCGCCCAACCAACUUCAUUUUGGCAAUCAAUUGCCUAAAUCACUCUUUUCGGCUAAAAGCCUUAAAAUCAAUCAUUUUUACGACAAUCGCCUAAAAAUUAAUCAUUUCUGGCAACAAUUUCCUAAAUCAAUCUUUUGGGCUUAAAGUCAUUAAAAUCAACACUUUUUGGCAUCAAAUGCCUAAAAAUCAAACUCUUUGGCAAAAUGCCUAAACAAAAAAUGCACAAAGCAUACAUACACUCAUGCAUUAAGCAUACCCAUUCAAAGCCCUUCAAAGAAGGCCUAUCGAACUACGUUGACUUUGAUCUUCCAUUCAAACGGAAGUACGUAGGCAC